rnacentral:rRNA from 1 species
UGGGGAAUAUUGGACAAUGGGCGAAAGCCUGAUCCAGCGACGCCGCGUGAGUGAUGAAGGCCUUCGGGUUGUAAAGCUCUGUUGAGGGAGAAGAAAACAGUUAGAACUAAUAUGUCUAGCUCUUGACGGUAUCCCUUUUGAAAGCCCCGGCUAACUCCGUGCCAGCAGCCGCGGUAAUACGGAGGGGGCUAGCGUUGUUCGGAAUUACUGGGCGUAAAGCGCACGUAGGCGGAUAGUUAAGUCGGGGGUGAAAUCCCGGGGCUCAACCCCGGAACUGCCUUCGAUACUGGCUAUCUAGAGUUCGAGAGAGGUGAGUGGAAUUCCGAGUGUAGAGGUGAAAUUCGUAGAUAUUCGGAGGAACACCAGUGGCGAAGGCGGCUCACUGGCUCGAUACUGACGCUGAGGUGCGAAAGCGUGGGGAGCAAA